AUGACCGUGACGCUCCAAGAUAUUGCUAUGAUCACCGGUCUUCUCAUCGAUGGGAAUCCUCUAUGUAUGAGCAUCGAUUUUGAUGGGUGGCGCGCGCAGAUGAAUACCCUUAUCGGUAUGGUUCCACCGGAGCCUCGGGAACCAGCAGCAGAAGACAAGAAGAAGGAAAGAGUCGCAGACUAUGUUUGCUGA
rnacentral:rRNA from 1 species